GUACGGAGCACUAUACGCCCACUGUUGCUUAUAAGCAACACCCCAAAAAAAUAAAAACUGGAGGGGGAAUUUUUCCCAUUUUAUCACUUUUUGCAUCUAUUAUCUCAUACAACAUGAAAUAAACAUAGAAAUAUUCUUUCCCAGACUCAAAACAUAAAUUGGGCUAGAAAGGGUAAAUGAUUCACUAUGAAGAGUUUGCAGACCUCGUGGGUCUCCAGCAUUAUUACCCUGUCAUCAGCUGGAUCAAAUCUUUGAAUAGGAGACUUUUGAUGCACGGGAACACUAGCGUCAGGUGAUCAAUUUUGAUAACGGCAAGGAAAGUUGUGUGAGUGCGCCACACCAGAUUUUUUUAAUAAUCAUACCAAAAUUACUAGAAAUUUUCUAAUUUAUUUGCUAUCUUUAAUUGAAGAAAUCAUUACCGUACCUAAUAUCAGUUAUUGUUUCUAUUACAGCGAAGAAGCGAGACCAAACAGCAGUAAAUAACAAGAGCUUGCAUAGAUGAGGAAAUAACAUCAGAUAAUCUUUACUUCCAUUGAGAGAGAUGGACAAUUUCCAGUCAGAAUGGGAGGAGAAAAUCGUUUGUGAAGCACGAGCGGGACGGUUUCAUGCGUUGUACAGGACUCUCGAUUUUGAGCUGAGUGACAAGAAAUACAUUGGAAAGGACACCCAAAUGUGGGUUAUGAGGUGGAUUUUCAAGGCAAGGGAUAAAGCAUAUGAGGACAGUGGGGAGCGCUAAUAUUGGCCAAUGUGUCAAUAAUAUCUUGAGAAGAUUAUAAUGAUUGAUGAGCUGGCCAUGAAAUUUUCAUAUACUGGCCGUGCAUCAAACGGGAGCACACAAAAACUCCAUUAAUUUCAUGGGAGUGAGAUAUCGAAAUGCAUACUUGAUUGCUGUUCAAACGUUGUUUGGUGACAUUGCAACUGAGGUGAAAUAUAUGGAUCGUUGGCGUCAAAAUGGCUUCAACAAGCCAGAACAAGAGUGUUGAGAAGGACCAAGAGCAGAGAGACUACGCCUCAUGAAGCUCAAAUUGAGAACAAUAGCAGUUCAAAGUAAAAAUAUAUAAUUAGUUAUAAAUUGAAAGUUCAAUUUUUGUAAUAUUUAAUAAGAAUCAUUGCAUUUUAUUGAAAAUAAUGUUUUCUUAUUUACAUUUUUCGCUCAUAAUGAUAUACUCUGAAGUUAAGCUUUAAAGAAAAUAAACUAUAUUCAAAGUAAUAAUUGAUGUGUUACUCAGAUGUAUACUCAG